rnacentral:tRNA from 1 species
UGGGAUGUAGCCAAGUGGUAAGGCAACGGACUUUGACUCCGUCAUUCGUUGGUUCGAAUCCAACCAUCCCAGCCA